UACAGAGGGUGCAAGCGUUAAUCGGAAUUACUGGGCGUAAAGCGUGCGUAGACGGUUAUGUAAGUCGGGUGUGAAAGCCCCGGGCUCAACCUGGGAAUGCCAUUCGAGACUGCAUAGCUAGGGUGCGGAAGAGGGAAGCGGAAUUUCCGGUGUAGCGGUGAAAUGCGUAGAUAUCGAGAGGAACACCUGCGGCGAAGGCGGGUUGCUGGGCUGACACUGACGCUGAAGCGCGAAAGCUAGGGGAGCGAACGGG
rnacentral:rRNA from 1 species